GAGAUUUUCAGGUCAAUAGUCUGGAGGGAGAGAUGGAAGCUGAGUGUUUAUGCAAGGCAGUGACUAUACCAAUGGAAAGAAGGGAAUGAAAGGUUGAAGGAAGGGUGCCAAAUGGAAGAGUCAGUGGGUUAAAGAUCUCAGUAGAGUCAAAGAAUUGCUGAGGUCAGGAUGGUAGAUGGAAUUAUCUGGAAGAUAACAGGUGGUGUUUGGAGAAUGGGAUCCUUAAAAAUGAAUGGCUGGGUGUGGCCAUGGGAGGCGGUGGUUGAGGAAAGAUAGAGGACGAGAUCAUUGGAAGAGAAGAGACCAAGAAGCUGAGAGACCUGAGUAGUGAAAGUCCUCUCUAUGUGAUUGAUUAUUGAAAUAAUUGAAGAUUAUGAUAGAUGUAGUUGUUGUUGGUGGUGAAAGUGAGCCAGGUACAAAGUCUUCUGUAAAUGAGGGGAAGACCAGAGGGUGGCAGUGGCCAACUCACCAAAGGAGGGGGUAGUUAGUGGCAUAUAGUCUGAUGCUCUAGGCGUCAAAGGAGCUGGGAUUGGAGAAGGUAGAGGAUGGAGAAAUGGUCUGGAGGAUGCAGUGCGGAGCAAGUAAGAUACAUAAUCCCUUCUAGGCUCUGUGUCUAUGGGGAAAAAAGAAGACCCACUGCUGGAAAGGCUGACAGGGAAGCCUUGACCUUGCGGGAUGGCUGCUUUCUGUUGCAGCGGGCGUUCGAAGGGAAUAUUUGUCGAAAAGGAUUUAAAGUCAGAGGAGAUGGCAGCAUGAGAAGGACUCAGACCAUUGUUGCUGGCUUUGAAGAUGGAGAAGGGCCCAUGAGCCAAGAAACACAAGCAAGCUCUAAGUUGGAAGAGGCAAGGAAACGGACCCCCUCCCCUGCCAGAGCCUCCCGAAGGAACCCAGGCCUGCCAACACCUUGAUGUUAGCCCGAAAAAGAGUGUUCUAUCCAAAAGCAAUGUUUGCAAACACAUCUUUCCCUUGGACUCUUCUUAGCCUCUCUCGCUGUUGACUGCAUCUUACCUGGAGGAAGAAACUGCGUCUUGCCUGGAGAAUGAGUUGAAAAAGUAAACAAACCCAAAAAUCAAUGAAUUGUAAAGGGCAGGUCGGUGAACACAUUCCAAACCCAUAUCCAGAAACGUGAUGGAGAUUCCUGCCAAGAUGUUCAUAUCUGAGGCUUCCAGGUCUAAGACCACUGUGCCUGUCAGCUCUGGAUGGUGACAUUUGUUAAACACUUCUCUGAGAAGUUAAAGACGUGCUUCACAAGGCUUUGCAGCAGGAAUGCCGAGAGCCACAGGAGCCUGCCAGAAGGGUGGGAGGCAGAUCCACUCUGCCCUACAAAUCUUGUUUCCAGGCAGAAAAGAUGCAAGCAGCUGCUCAGCCUGUGACUCAGUGAUUCCCAGCUGUGUGGGUGCUGAUCACAUGAAUCCCAAAGGUUAAAAAACGUGGGCCACUGGGCAUCAAGUAUUGGUCUUGAACAGCAUAGGAGCUGGGCAGAGGCCAGAAGGACUCCUGAGGGGAGGUCCUAAUUGUGCCUCUUUGGGAUCCAGUGACAGGCAUGGUAGGAUUAAGAUGGAUGGAGGAGAAUGAAUAAUGAAGCUCCACACAGCCACUGUGAUCCUCUCAUCCAGCAGGAGAUCAUUCUUCUCAAGGGCAAUAGUAUCAGAUGGUGGUGAAGAGCUCAAAGUCUGCCUCUGACAUAGUAACUUUGAUUAGUCAGCCAUUUUGGUUCACCUCUUCGUCAAGGUGUAGGGAGGAGUACCAGCUCGCCAGUGUGCCAUUAGGCAGGACCAUGUGACAAGUUUUGGCCAAUGUGCUGUAAGCAGAAGUGAUGUAUAUCAUUUCCAGAAUAUAACUGCUCCAGCAUUCUCUUCACUGCCAUGGCAACCAAGGGCCACGUUCCCACAUUGUGAGGCUUCAAAAUGGUGGAGCCUCCCUCAGUCUGGGUCUUUGAGUGAUUACAUGAGCUAGUAGUACACAUAAGGAAUAAUUUUCUGUUGCUUUAAGGCAUGGAAUUUGAGCACCAUUUGGUGGGCUUUGAGGAUUAUUGAUUACUGUAGCAUAACCUAGAAUAUUUUGACAAAUACAAUCUCUUAUUAACUGAGUGAGCAACUCUCUGAAGCUCUCUGAGUAUCGAUUUCCUCAUUUGUCAACUGGAGAAAAUUACAGCACUUGCUUAAUAAAAGGGAUAAAAAAUAUAUUGCUUGUAAAGUGCUAACCACUGUGUCUAGAACAUAAUAAGUACCUUGCAAAUGUUACCUCUUAGCCUUAUUUGAUUCUCCA
rnacentral:lncRNA from 1 species